rnacentral:rRNA from 1 species
AUUGAACGCUGGCGGCAGGCUUAACACAUGCAAGUCGAGCGGAGUGAUGGUGCUUGCACUAUCACUUAGCGGCGGACGGGUGAGUAAUGCUUAGGAAUCUGCCUAUUAGUGGGGGACAACAUUCCGAAAGGAAUGCUAAUACCGCAUACGCCCUACGGGGGAAAGCAGGGGAUCUUCGGACCUUGCGCUAAUAGAUGAGCCUAAGUCGGAUUAGCUAGUUGGUGGGGUAAAGGCCUACCAAGGCGACGAUCUGUAGCGGGUCUGAGAGGAUGAUCCGCCACACUGGGACUGAGACACGGCCCAGACUACUACGGGAGGCAGCAGUGGGGAAUAUUGGACAAUGGGCGGAAGCCUGAUCCAGCCAUGCCGCGUGUGUGAAGAAGGCCUUUUGGUUGUAAAGCACUUUAAGCGAGGAGGAGGCUCUUAAGGUUAAUACCCUUGAUGAGUGGACGUUACUCGCAGAAUAAGCACCGGCUAACUCUGUGCCAGCCGCCGCGGUAAAAC